AUGGAGUCGAAUGUGUACAACUUCGGCGGACUGCUGCUGGAGAUGAUCACGGGGUGGAGGCCCAUUGACCCCGCCCAACCCACUGCCGAGGAUCAGAACCUUGUCGCAUGGGCCACGCGACUAAUGAAGGACAGGAGCCAAUUCCGAAGGAUGGCAGACCCGGCGCUGCAGGGUUGGUACCCGUCCAUGGAUUUGGAGGAGGCCCUGACAGUUGCUUCCAUGUGCGUCCACCAACAGCCGACCAUGAGAUCGCCCAUCGGCACCCUCGUCACAUCUCUGUCUCGCCUCGCCUAUGAUGUCGAUCCACUCGAAUCAUCACACCCUGCGACACCUAGUUAA
rnacentral:rRNA from 1 species